ensembl:processed_transcript
ACGUGACCCUUCAGCGACGAGCUUGAGGAAGGAACGAAGCCGCGGGAGGAGGCUCUCGGAGCAGAGAAAAAGAAAAAGUUGUGGCAGGCAGAACUUUUUCUCAUUAAUAACACUGAGACCAUUCUUAAACUCCACCUUCUCUGGUGAUACUACGCAUGGCUUUACUUCAUCUUCUCUCCACAUCCCUAAAGAAAUGAGAGACUCAGAAAGAUAACCUGAGUUCUUAGAAUUUGCUCCCUAAUGAUCACGAACCAUCCUAAGGCUUGUUACAUCACCUGCAAGACGCAGGUGCUCAUGUAGCCCACCAGAGGGAACUGCAGGCACGAAUAAACUGAAAACGUCGGUAUUCACAAGGCCUGUGAGUGAUGCUGGAGAUGGAACCUAACUCUGCACCAAUGUCAGUCAAAUGCUUGGACACUGAACUUACAUAGUCCCUCGGCUCUUCAGGAUCAGCUUGUAUUAAAUGAAAAUGGUGCCCGAGCUGCUGCGGGUCAGAAAUACCAGCUGGGCUGUAUGGCAAUCUCACUCUGGUUGAGUGUUCUUUCUCGAAGCCUCAGUUCCAGGCAUUCCACGUGCUCCUCUCCAAAUCAUUUCCCUCCAUAUUCAGAAGCCACCAUCUGGGCCCACGCUGCUUCUGUCUAGACAGCUCUUAAGGGAGGCUCCUCUUGUGAUGUGGGAGUCAGGGAGAUUUCUCUUAAUACAAGGAAGGAGAGGUUCUACUCUGUUGAGAACGUCUACACUGGCAUUUAAGACCCCCUCACCCUGGUCACUCUGCUCUUCUGGACGAUUCCUCUCCAUACUUUAACCCUGGAUCAACCACUUCAGACACACCGUCUCCCCUGCCAGUCCCAAGCAGGCUCUCUCUGAUAGUCCCCAGAGGCUGGCACUUCCCCUGUAACCCUCUUCUCUCCCAGAGACACACAGCCCAGGCCCGGUAGCCAUGGCGAGGCCAUCUUCUCAGAAAGACCUAUGUAAUGGCUAUUCCUAGUUGUCAACUUGACUGUAUCUGGAAUGGAUUACAAUCCAGAACUGGAAGGCUCACCUGUGAUCCAGAUCUUGAGGCUAGAAGACACAAGUUUCUGACCUGGAUCUUGGCAUGGAGAUCUUGAGGCACAGUGGCUAUGAAAAGUUUAGGCCCAGGCAAUGUAAUACAUGCCUUUAAUCCCAGGAGACUAAGGCAAGGAGAUCUCUGAGUUUAAGGUCCGCCUGGGACAAAGCAAGUCCCAGAUCCAGGUAUGGUAGCACACACCUUUAAUCUGGGCCACACCUUCUGCUGGAGGCCUACGUAAAGACAUUGGAAGAAGGAAGAUUCGCUCUUCUUUGCACUUACUUGCCAGCACAUUGGUUGGAACCUCGUUCUACAGAAGACCAGCUGAAACAACUAGCCUUGUGGGACUGAGCAGCUACCAGAUUCUUGGACUUCCCAUUCACAGCUGCCCAUUGUUCAACUGUAAGUUGACUGUAAGUCAUCACAAUAAAUUCCCUCCAUAUAGAGACCUUCCUUAAGCUCUAUGACUCUAGAGAACCCUGACUAAUACAGCCUACCCAACUGCCUUUCCCUCACUCAUUUUUGUUUUAGUAUUUAUUACCAAUUGAUGAGUGUGCGUGUGUGUACAUGUACAUGUGUAAACACACAGAAGCGCAUGCAUAGAUGUAUGCAUCAUAUAGGUAACAUACAUAUAAAUAUUAUACAAUUUAAUUAUAGAUAAUCUUUACAAAGUUAUAGUUUCAUGUAUGCAUUCAUUUUUAUGUUUCAUAAAUACACAUUAAAAUGUAGACAUG